UGCAUUCAUUCCUCCUCCCACGGCACCACCACCAUUAAUGGAGGUCCCACCGAGAUCCGAAGUCCCCGCGGCCUGAGCCCUCCAGCUAACGAGGACCCCAGACUUGAGGUACCACACACAACCUGUUUGGGGUUGGGUCAGGAGUCCGGUUAGCAAGGGCCAGGUAAGCGGCUCUCUCGGAGGUAGGACUCGCAUCUCUGGUUUGGGAAUAACUCGCUCUUUAAUUAAGGGACCCUUAGUCAAUUUGUCCAGUCAUUGGACAUGGGUAACAGCUUGUCUGUUGUCCCAAAAUUUGGUGGGGCGGUCUGUAGCCCAAAGAAAUACGGCCGAAAGUUACAUGGUUUCGAAGUAUGGACCUGAUGCAAGCAAGUACUUAGAGAAAUGGCAAGCAAUGACAAAGGCCAAUCCGAAGGUAAGCUGGCCAAGGUGGGGUUCACUUAAUGAGGAAAGGAUGUUGUUUCUGCAGUCUGUUUUAAGUGAAGCAGGUCGAGAAAUUGAAGGAGACGAAAGAGAAGUCUUCAACAAAUGGCUCGAGGAGUACACCCAGAGAAAACACAGGUCAGAACGAUCCGUAGAACAAGAGACGGGUAAGAACAAGAGAAAGGUAAGGGAGGAAGAGGAGAAUCAAGGUGAACAAGGCAGGGAAGCCACUAAAAAGCAAAUAGCUGAUUUACAGAAGGAGGUAGAAAGCCUUAAAGAACUCCUGAAAGGCUCUAGCAACCCAGCAACCUCUUUAGACAGCAUACCUGAGCCCCUAGAAUCACCUGAGGCACCCAUCCCUCAAUUCCCUUUUAAAAUUAAGGGAAGGGAAGGAACCAAAACAAUGCAGGUAUCUUUUACUCCUUGGACAAAAACAGAGCUCAGAGCCAUGGCCAAGGAAUUCCCAAAGGUUAGAGAAAACCCCAUAGAAUUUGCCAAGGAAUUUGAAUUAACUCUCUCUACAUACCAGCCUGGCCUAUCAGACCUUUACCAGCUAGCUCACAUACUAGUAGGUUCAGGAGAUGCUACUCACUGGUUUAAAACUGCUAGUUGGGAGAACCCUUUAGAAUAUAUUAAUCAGUUAAUGGCCAGAAAGGAAGGACCUGAAGUCCAUCUUCAGGAGGCAAAGAAGAUGGGAGAGGCUUUGUUAGAAGCAAUCCCCAAGGCCUUUCCAAAAUCUGUAAAUUGGGGAAAAAUCCAAACUUGCACUCAGAAAGAAGGAGAAUCUGUAUUUGAUUUUUAUAAUAGAUUUUUAGAUACCUUCAGGGCAAAUUCUGGACUUUCCCCAGAUAGCCCAG
rnacentral:lncRNA from 1 species